rnacentral:rRNA from 1 species
UGGGGGAUAUUGCACAAUGGGGGAAACCCUGAUGCAGCGACGCCGCGUGAGGGAAGACGGUCCUCUGGAUUGUAAACCUCUGUCUUCGGGGACGAAACGAGACGGUACCCGAGGAGGAAGCCACGGCUAACUACGUGCCAGCAGCCGCGGUAAUACGUAGGUGGCAAGCGUUAUCCGGAAUUACUGGGUGUAAAGGGAGCGCAGGCGGGAUAGCAAGUCAGCGGUGAAAUGCAUGGGCUUAACUCAUGAGCUGCCGUUGAAACUGUUAUUCUUGAGUGGAGUAGAGGCAGGCGGAAUUCCGAGUGUAGCGGUGAAAUGCGUAGAUAUUCGGAGGAACACCAGUGGCGAAGGCGGCCUGCUGGGCUCUAACUGACGCUGAGGCUCGAAAGUGUGGGGAGCAAACAGGAUUAGAUACCCUGGUAGU